rnacentral:rRNA from 1 species
UUAAGCGAAUAAGCGUACACGGUGGAUGCCUAGGCAAUCAGAGGCGAUGAAGGACGUGCUAAUCUGCGAAAAGCGUCGGUAAGGUGAUAUGAACCGUUAUACCCGACGAUAUCCGAAUGGGGAAACCCAGUAUCCAAUGGAUACUAUCAUUAACUGAAUCCAUAGGUUAAUGAGGCGAACCGGGAGAACUGAAACAUCUCAGUACCCCGAGGAAAAGAAAUCAACCGAGAUUCCCCUAGUAGCGGCGAGCGAACGGGGAGCAGCCCAGAGUCUUAAUCAAUAGCAGUGUCAGGAGAACGGUCUGGAAAGUCCGGCAGUAAAGGGUGAUAGCCCCGUAUCUGAAGAUGCUGUUAUUGUGAACUCGACGAGUAGGGCGGGACACGUGUUAUCCUGUCUGAAUAUGGGGGGACCAUCCUCCAAGGCUAAAUACUCCUGAUUGACCGAUAGUGAACCAGUACCGUGAGGGAAAGGCGAAAAGAACCCCGGCGAGGGGAGUGAAAAAGAACCUGAAACCGUGUACGUACAAGCAGUAGGAGCCUCUUUAUGGGGUGACUGCGUACCUUUUGUAUAAUGGGUCAGCGACUUAUAUUCUGUAGCAAGGUUAACCGCAUAGGGGAGCCGUAGGGAAACCGAGUCUUAACUGGGCGAAUGAGUUGCAGGGUAUAGACCCGAAACCCGGUGAUCUAUCCAUGGGCAGGUUGAAGGUUGGGUAACACUAACUGGAGGACCGAACCGACUAAUGUUGAAAAAUUAGCGGAUGACUUGUGGAUGGGGGUGAAAGGCCAAUCAAACCGGGAGAUAGCUGGUUCUCCCCGAAAGCUAUUUAGGUAGCGCCUCGUGAACUCAUCUUCGGGGGUAGAGCACUGUUUCGACUAGGGGGUCAUCCCGACUUACCAACUCGAUGCAAACUGCGAAUACCGAAGAAUGUUAUCACGGGAGACACACGGCGGGUGCUAACGUCCGUCGUGAAGAGGGAAACAACCCAGACCGCCAGCUAAGGUCCCAAAGUCAUGGUUAAGUGGGAAACGAAGUGGGAAGGCUCAGACAGCCAGGAUGUUGGCUUAGAAGCAGCCAUCAUUUAAAGAAAGCGUAAUAGCUCACUGGUCGAGUCGGCCCGCGCGGAAGAUGUAACGGGGCUAAACCAUGCACCGAAGCUGCGGCAGCGACACAUAGUGUUGUUGGGUAGGGGAGCGUUCUGUAAGCCUGCGAAGGUGUACUGUGAGGUAUGCUGGAGGUAUCAGAAGUGCGAAUGCUGACAUAAGUAACGAUAAUGCGGGUGAAAAACCCGCACGCCGGAAGACCAAGGGUUCCUGUCCAACGUUAAUCGGGGCAGGGUGAGUCGACCCCUAAGGCGAGGCUGAAAAGCGUAGUCGAUGGGAAACGGGUUAAUAUUCCCGUACUGGUGGUAACUGCGAUGGGGGAACGGAGAAGGCUAGGUUGUCCGGGCGACGGUCGUCCCGGUUCAAGCAGGUAGGCAGAGUGAUUAGGCAAAUCCGGUCACUUAAUGCUGAGAUGUGAUGACGAACCACCAAGGUGGUGAAGCAAUUGAUGCCCCGCUUCCAGGAAAAGCCUCUAAGCUUCAGGUUACCAACAAUCGUACCCCAAACCGACACAGGUGGUCAGGUAGAGAAUACUCAGGCGCUUGAGAGAACUCGGGUGAAGGAACUAGGCAAAAUGGUGCCGUAACUUCGGGAGAAGGCACGCUGGCGGUAGGUAAAGUCCCUCGCGGACGGCGCUGAAGCCAGUCGAAGAUACCAGCUGGCUGCAACUGUUUAUUAAAAACACAGCACUGUGCAAACACGAAAGUGGACGUAUACGGUGUGACGCCUGCCCGGUGCUGGAAGGUUAAUUGAUGGGGUCAGCCGCAAGGCGAAGCUCCUGAUCGAAGCCCCAGUAAACGGCGGCCGUAACUAUAACGGUCCUAAGGUAGCGAAAUUCCUUGUCGGGUAAGUUCCGACCUGCACGAAUGGCGUAAUGAUGGCCAGGCUGUCUCCACCCGAGACUCAGUGAAAUUGAACUCGCUGUGAAGAUGCAGUGUACCCGCGGCAAGACGGAAAGACCCCGUGAACCUUUACUAUAGCUUGACACUGAACAUUGAGCCUUGAUGUGUAGGAUAGGUGGGAGGCUUUGAAGUGUGGACGCCAGUCUGCAUGGAGCCAACCUUGAAAUACCACCCUUUAACGUUUGAUGUUCUAACCUAGGCCCAUAAACUGGGUCGGGGACCGUGUCUGGUGGGUAGUUUGACUGGGGCGGUCUCCUCCUAAAGAGUAACGGAGGAGCACGAAGGUUGGCUAAGCAUGGUCGGACAUCAUGCGGUUAGUGCAAAGGCAUAAGCCAGCUUGACUGCGAGAGUGACGGCUCGAGCAGGUACGAAAGUAGGUCUUAGUGAUCCGGUGGUUCUGAAUGGAAGGGCCAUCGCUCAACGGAUAAAAGGUACUCCGGGGAUAACAGGCUGAUACCGCCCAAGAGUUCAUAUCGACGGCGGUGUUUGGCACCUCGAUGUCGGCUCAUCACAUCCUGGGGCUGAAGUAGGUCCCAAGGGUAUGGCUGUUCGCCAUUUAAAGUGGUACGCGAGCUGGGUUUAGAACGUCGUGAGACAGUUCGGUCCCUAUCUGCCGUGGGCGUUGGAAGAUUGAGAGGGGUUGCUCCUAGUACGAGAGGACCGGAGUGAACGCACCACUGGUGUUCGGGUUGUCAUGCCAAUGGCAUUGCCCGGUAGCUAAGUGCGGAAGAGAUAACCGCUGAAAGCAUCUAAGCGGGAAACUUGCCUCGAGAUGAGUCUUCCCUGUCGCUUUAAGCGACCUAAAGGAACGUUUAAGACUAAGACGUUGAUAGGCUGGGUGUGUAAGCGUAGCGAUACGUUGAGCUAACCAGUACUAAUGAACCGUGAGGCUUAACCUG